UUGAUUGAUUUGUUUUUUUUCUCAGACUGCAAAAAAUGUAUUCAGAGUGAUAAACCCUCGGUGGGCAAGUCUCAACCCCUCCAACCAAAAAUUCGAUCGAGAGUCUCGGCACGAAACCGUGACCCAAUCACGAAAAAGGAUGAAAGGGAGAUCGCCAACUCAUAGAAAGGUUUAAAACCCUUCCACAAGCAGCGUCCCACCGAAGCAACAGGUCGAUACGCAAGGGUGGGAGUCCACGCUGGAAAGCGCGGGUACUCGGUAAUGAUCCUUCCGCAGGUUCACCUACGGAAA
rnacentral:misc_RNA from 1 species